rnacentral:rRNA from 1 species
UAGGGAAUCUUCCGCAAUGGGCGAAAGCCUGACGGAGCAACGCCGCGUGAGUGAUGAAGGUCUUCGGAUCGUAAAACUCUGUUAUUAGGGAAGAACAAAUGUGUAAGUAACUAUGCACGUCUUGACGGUACCUAAUCAGAAAGCCACGGCUAACUACGUGCCAGCAGCCGCGGUAAUACGUAGGUGGCAAGCGUUAUCCGGAAUUAUUGGGCGUAAAGCGCGCGUAGGCGGUUUUUUAAGGAUGAUGUGAAAGCCCACGGCUCAACCGUGGACGGUCAUUGGCAACUGGAGAACUUGAGUGCAGAAGAGGAGAGUGGAAUUCCAUGUGUAGCGGUGAAAUGCGCAGAGAUAUGGAGGAACGCCAGUGGCGGAGGCUACUUUCUGGUCUGUAAAUGACGCUGAUGUGCGAAAGCGUGGGGUUCAAACAGG